rnacentral:rRNA from 1 species
UACGAAGGGGGCUAGCGUUGCUCGGAAUCACUGGGCGUAAAGCGCACGUAGGCGGCUUGUUAAGUCAGGGGUGAAAUCCUGGAGCUCAACUCCAGAACUGCCUUUGAUACUGGCGAUCUCGAGUCCGGGAGAGGUGAGUGGAACUGCGAGUGUAGAGGUGAAAUUCGUAGAUAUUCGCAAGAACACCAGUGGCGAAGGCGGCUCACUGGCCCGGUACUGACGCUGAGACGCGAAAGCGUGGGGAGCGAACAGG